CUUCCCCCAAAGUCCAGGAAAUGGCAUUUUAGAGACUCUAAAUUUAAAAAUUUCCUCGGGCCUUCGGCCCUCGCUUUCAGCCCCCCCAAUCGAAAAGAGCUUCCUACGGCCCUGGACUAUGAGGACUACACUAGAUUUCAAGUCCGCGCAAUUUGAUCACGUCCGAGGCGAAGCAGAGGACUGGAUCAAAAUGUGAGGACUUGAAAUCUAGUCCAGUCCGAAUUGGAGGAUUUGAAAUGACAUCUCAUACGAAUAAAUCACUACUUAAUUAAUUUUGAUCCAGUCCAAGGACUGAAUUAAUUUUAAUCCAGUCCUAGGACACUCAUGAAUUAUUAGUGAUUUAAGGUGAACAAUGAUGGUAAUGCACGUAGGUAUUAUCAGUGCAGUAAAUCUAGGAUUGGUAUCCAUAGAGUAUACUGAGCGAUGGUG